AGCUCAAGAAACAGAAGAGAUAUCGACUUCAAAUUAAUUUUAAAAAUACAGAUAAUAAUGCAGAAUGAUGCAGAAAGGGUUCUCAAGAAAAUUGCGUGAGUGAUUUUUUACCAUAGCAGUUUAAAAAAGAUUGUAUUUAUUAGAAACUGGCGACUGUUGAUGGUUUAUAUAUCCAUACAAACAUUACUGGGAAAACAUUGAAGAAGAAAAUUAUCUUAAAAUAUUGUCAAGAUGCAGCUUUACUCUGGGCCCUACAUGGGUAUUUUGUGCCUUUCCAAAAAGUUGUGAGGAAAGACAACGAGGGAAAAAAAAA